CAGGAGUGGAGAGAAGAAAGGUGAGAGGAGAAAGGGUACUGUUUCACCGGGGAUUGAAGAUGUCGACGGAGUAUAAAGAUUGGAAUGAAAUUCACGAUUGUGUGCUCAAAUUGAGAGUGAAUCCUCGAAGACGAAGGGAGAAGGUUUACAUAGGCUGUGGGGCUGGGUUUGGAGGUGACAGGCCAUUGGCAGCACUUAGGUUGCUUCAAAGAGUUAAGGAGCUUAACUAUCUUGUGCUUGAAUGCUUGGCUGAGCGCACCCUUGCUGAUCGUUAUCAGGUUAUGGUGUCUGGUGGUGAUGGCUAUGAUUCUCGCAUCUCAGAUUGGAUGCGUUUGCUCCUCCCUUUGGCUGUAGAAAGAGGAACUUGCAUAAUAACAAACAUGGGUGCAAUGGAUGUGCUUCAUGCUCAAGAGAGUGUUCUAGAACUUGCCAGCAAUCUGGGGCUAAGUGUUUCUGUUGCUGUGGCUCAUGAGAUUUCUUCCAAUAAAUCAGGUAUAGGAUCUCCACCUAUGAAAUCAAAUGUUACAGAAGGUGUAAGAAUCUGGUUCUCUUUCUUGUGCUUCCUGUUUGUAUUCAGCUUUCAUAACUGUAAUUGCUUUUACUUUUUUUUUUUGGGUUGGCAUGACAUUUUACUGUCACUAACAUUGUUGAUGAUUAUCUAUAGCAACCUUUGCAAUACAUAUGAAUGCAAUUCCUGCCUCUCAACCUCUCAUAAAAAUUUGUCAAGAAUUUAAACUUGCAAUAUGAUAAAAUUUCAUUUUGUUACUCUAGCAAACAUCCAGAACAUGCUAUUUUUACUCUUCUUUCUUACUUUUAGUUGUAAGGUUAACCCAAUUUUUUGUUCUAAUAUCUGAAGGGUGUUAGCACGUAUCUGGGAGCAGCACCUAUUGUUGAAUGUCUGGAAAAGUAUCAACCUAAUGUUAUAAUUACUUCGCGAAUUGCUGAUGCUGCCUUGUUCUUAGCACCAAUGGUUUUUGAAUUGGGUUGGAAUUGGGAUGACUUAAAGGAGCUAGCUCAGGGAUCCUUAGCUGGGCACCUCCUAGAGUGUGGUUGUCAACUCACAGGUGGAUACUUCAUGCAUCCAGGCGACAAAUAUCGAGACAUGUCUUUCUUGUCUCUACUGGAUUUGUCACUUCCUUAUGCAGAAAUAAGUUUUGAUGGGCAAGUUUGUGUAGCAAAGGCAGGGGGCAGUGGUGGGGUAUUAAAUUUCAGUACUUGUGCUCAACAACUUCUUUAUGAGGUUGGAGAUCCAGGCGCUUAUAUCACACCUGAUGUGAUAAUUGAUUUUCAGGAUGUUUCAUUUUAUCCAUCCUCAAGUUCUUGCAUUCUCUGUGCUGGAGCAAAACCAUCUUUAGGAUCCAGGCCUGAUAAACUCUUGUGUUUGGUUCCAAAGGAUUGUGGUUGGAAAGGAUGGGGAGAGAUAUCCUAUGGAGGGCAUGAAUGUGUGACUCGUGCUAAAGCUGCUGAAUAUCUAGUAAGGUCAGAUCAUGGAUGGAAGAAGUAUGUCCAGGUGUUAGCUGUAAUGUAGUUUCAUGUAUUAUUGGACUUGAUAGCCUGAAGGCCUCUAGGAUUAACGAUAACACUUCAUCAUGGACCACUAAUGGAGACAUAAGGCUACACAUGGAUGGAUUAUUUGAGUUGAAAGAGCAUGCAGUCCUAUUUACAAGAGAGUUUACAGCAUUGUAUACUAAUGGACCAGCUGGUGGUGGUGGUAUCAGGUCAAUUUCUCAUCUGCUUCUUGUUUCAUUCUGCUUCAUUUUCCAUAAUUCGAACAUGAUUAUUCUCUUUGUUUAAUGAUGCAGCACUGGAUAUAAGAAAGAGAUAGUUCUCGAAAAAAAGUUGGUAGUCUCCCAAUCUCUCUCUCUCUUCCCAUUUUUGUGAAUUUUAUCUGUAACUAAGUAGAGUGCAUUGCAUCAAAUCAUCAACACUGUUGUGCUUUCUGAAAUACAAAGUUUGUCCAUAAGUAAAGCCGUAACUACAAAUUUAGCAUCCUAACUAUUUUCUGUUCUCAUUCCCUUUUGCACCCUGGAAAUAACUUGUCCUGCCUCAAAUUUGUGGAAGUCUUUCUUUAAUCAGAUGUGCUUUGUGAAGUUGUUGAGUAGUUGGUAAAAAAUUUUCAUUACACUUCUAGCAUUACUAAAGUUAUUGCAAUAGGAAAAAUUCUGACAGAAGAUUACUCCUUGGUUUUUAGGUUGGGCGUGAGUGUGUUUUCUGGCGGACUGGGGUGAAGUCCACCAAAGGAAUGAGUUCAGAGAAGGAAGAAAUUGGCCAUGGGAAUGUGGUGAAAAUGCAUGUUCUGCAUGAUGCUCUGUUACCACUAUUUCCAAAAGAUAAUGUGGAUUCGUCUUGUGUAGAAUAUUCUUUGCCUGUAAUUAAGACCUCCCCUGCUCCAUCAGGUCACGAGAUCCCACUUUAUACUGUAGCUCAUAGCAGGGCCGGCGACAAGGGAAAUGACUUGAAUUUUUCAAUCAUCCCACACUUCCCUCCGGACAUCGAGAGAUUGAAGAUGGUUGUGACACCCCAGUGGGUAAAGGGAGUUGUCGCAGCUCUUCUAAAUACUUCUUCAUUUCUGGACUCAGAAGCUAUCAUGAAGAGAGACAAAUGGGUCAAUGAAUAUGUAGAUGUGGAAAUAUAUGAAGUCAGGGGAAUCCAUUCUUUGAAUGUUGUGGUACGAAACAUUCUAGAUGGUGGUGUCAAUUGCUCUCGGAGGAUUGACCGGCAUGGAAAGACCAUCUCAGAUGUUAUACUAUGUCAGCACGUUGUGUUGCCUCCAUGACGAGUGAGUUUUCACCCGCAUCAUCUUUGCUUUCCCUCAAGGAGCAAGUUGCCGAUAGCAAAUUUGCAAUGCUCCUGUUUACCUUUGUUAUUCUUUUGGCAUGUUUUCUCAACUUUUUCAUGGAAGAAACUUUUUCAUGGAAGAAAUGUAUUUAUUUAAAAAAGAAAAAAAAAGAAUUGUACUUUUUAGACUAAUCUAUGCGAACUGCUAUUAAAAAGCAGAUUAAUUAGUGUUUGGAUCUUUUUCUUUGGGCAAAGUUGACAUUCCAAUAGCGGCUAAAUUUCAAGUGUGGC
rnacentral:misc_RNA from 1 species